rnacentral:rRNA from 1 species
GGGCCCGCACAAGCGGUGGAGCAUGUGGUUUAAUUCGAUGAUACGCGAGGAACCUUACCAGGGCUUAAAUGUAGUCUGACAGCUUUAGAGAUAGAGUUUUCUUCGGACAGAUUACAAGGUGCUGCAUGGUUGUCGUCAGCUCGUGCCGUGAGGUGUCAGGUUAAGUCCUAUAACGAGCGCAACCCUGUCGUUAGUUGCCAGCAUGUCAUGAUGGGGACUCUAACGAGACUGCCGGUGCAAACCGCGAGGAAGGUGGGGAUGACGUCAAAUCAUCACGGCCCUUACGUCCUGGGCCACACACGUGCUACAAUGGCCGGUACAGAGAGCAGCCACGUCGCAAGGCGGAGCGAAUCUAUAAAACCGGUCACAGUUCGGAUCGGGGUCUGCAACUCGGCCCCGUGAAGCUGGAAUCGCUAG